UCAACUAAUCUGUAACAUGCAGCCUUCAAUGUGAGCAAAUCAAUAUGUUUUGUUUGCCUCUUCGCCUGAUGGUUCCUUCCAUCUACCAUCCACCAAUAAAACUCCACCAUAUCUUCCUAAUUCUUCACCUUCCUUCUUUAUUCGUGACACUCUUCAUAUUGCGAUGCCACUGGUCAAGCUUCCUCUGGUUGCCUUCACCAGAAAUCUGCAGGCUUGAAGCGCAAUUCGGCUUCCACAUGCAUUCCCCACACUACUGUAGAGAUCUACAUACAAAUCACGAACGAAUAUAGUGCACUGAUGCCCAUCGACCAGAGAAAUAGGCUGGAUGGCAAUCAGUUCUGCAGACGUAGUAGCGGAGCUUGGCGCCACGAGCCGGAGACAUCGAUCGUCUACUGAACUCGCUAGAGCAGCGAAGGUAAGCCAGAAAAUCAAUCAAGUUCUUUAUCAAAAAUUUAGACUCCAAACCAGCAAAUCAUAGUUUAGAUUAGUUUUGGAUUGAUUUGUUUGGUGAUUGGUUUAUCUGAUCAGACCAUAUAGAUGAUGUAAUAUUAGCAAAGCUCUACUAUUAUAUAACGAACAAAAAGGGAGGGGAGAUGUCCAAUCGCACCAUAUCGCGGGAGCAUUACAGGGAGGCCACGGUUGCACGCACAGUCGUCGAGGACGUGCACUGCCGCUCUCAAGUCUAUGGGGACAUCACUUUAUGACGCAUGCGGAGGAGUCCGCACAUGGCGGCGGUGACAGGUAUCUCCUCUUGCCGCCGUUUGACCUGGGCUGAUCCUCAUGUUGCGCGAUCCAAAGUUGCGGGUCCAUGGGUCUCAUCUUAAUUGGAGUAGUAGCAUGGCGACCAUCAUGAUGAGAGCAUGAUCGAAUGAGCAUUUCUAAUGGCCUCACUAACAAGUAAGGAUUCGUUCAUUUUUUUUACUUCCCUUUUUCGAUCCCAUCCGCACUUUCUCUGACAUAACACAGCUUCACUGUAGGUGAUAUACUAACAUAGCUUCAUCGUCGCAUAUGCUUCUAUCAUUAUCCAAACAGGUAGAUGUCCCAGACACCCCGCUGGAGCUCCGUCAAUGUGUUUACCUCUCCCCUAAUGCCUUAGUGUUAUUCUCUUGAGAUCGAGUUCGUAAAAAGCAUUAUUUCAUCAACUCACUUGAUCACCAAGCAACUUCAUUUGAGGAGAUACCGUGAAAAAAUUCUUAUUGGAGGAGAUGUUUACCGAAUAGUCUCUUUGUUAAUCCUUUCAUGCAGGUUAGCAAACAAUUAUCAAAUUUUUUCUUAUUUUCUUUCUUGAUGUGCAUCUCUCACAUAUAAGCUGAUUGCAAAACAUCCCGCUGCAACGCGCGGGAAAUCAACUAGUUCA